CAAUAGCGUAUAUUAAAGUUGUUGCAGUUAAAAAGCUCGUAGUCGGAUUUUGGCAUCACGCCGAACUGUCAGCCGAUUGGUUUGUACGGUUUGGCGGGUGCUCUCCUUCCGGAAGCUCGUUCCCUUCUUAGUUGACGGGUUCGAUGGUUCCGGGUCUUUUACUUUGAAAAAAUUAGAGUGCUCAAAGCAGGCCUAUGCUCUGAAUAGGUUAGCAUGGAAUAAUAGAAUAGGACUUUGGUUCUAUUUUGUUGGUUUCUAGGACCGAAGUAAUGAUUAAUAGGGACAGUUGGGGGCAUUCAUAUUCCAAUGUCAGAGGUGAAAUUCUUGGAUUAUCGGAAGAUGAACUUCUGCGAAAGCAUCUGCCAAGGAUGUUUUCAUUGA
rnacentral:rRNA from 1 species